CCACAUGUUGGUUCUGAAGGACAAGCUGUUUUUCAUUGUUCGCAAGCUGAGGGCGUGGCAUUGGGAGCAUUUCAGGGCCUUUGAACUUCAAGUGAGCCCCAACAAGGACAUUUUGCUUUUGGGGCCAGAUGAACUGACAGAUCCAUAUCCAUUGGUGGAUUAUACUGUAGGAGGAAUGCGUUUGAUUACCUUAAAGAGAUAUAUUCAAGUUUAAGAUAUCCUGGACGUGUUUUGACAUUAAAUUCCUGCGCUACAUAAGUAGUUUGUGCACAGUCUACAUCAACCCUUCAACACGCACAGAAGGUCAACUUGAGAAAGGGAAUGCGGAAUACACAAAGGACCAAACCAGGCUCACACCUACAUCAAAAAUGUUGUCCGACAUUCUGGAAAGACUGGCAGAGAAGAUUUUCUCCUACAAGGCGUACCCCAGUGAUGCAGACCUGAUUGACGUUGCGGAGGCUCUGACAAGGAAACAUCCCUGCUUGAGGCAACCAGACUCCUUCAAUGAGAGCUACGGAUGGAAACUCAGACUAAAGACUAAGAUGAACAAUUACCGCACUCAGCUUAAGUCACAUGGACUUGCAUCUGAGCUCUUAGUAAAUACCCUCAAAUCAAAGUCACGAGAAGAUCCUUUUCCCAAGCCAGCCAAGAACAACAAAAAGGCAAGAAGAGGUGAGGCCAAUUACUAUCCUCAGACCAGCAGUGAGAAUCCAGAAAGCCUAGAACUAGAGCGAAUAUCUCUCCUGACUGAAUUAAAGAAGAGAAACAAUGAGAAAACUGUACGAGAGAAGAUGGCCAGGACCUUUGAAUUCAGGAGGAAAGAGGUUGUGGAUAAGAAGCCUGACAUCAAGAACCUCUUGGAAAGAUGGCCAGGUCUAUUUCAGAUG